CAGGUCUGUUUAGUAAGAGAAAUUAACAUUACAGUUUAAUGUACAUGUACUUAUGUUAGAAAAUACACAUGUGGAACAGUGUCUAGAAUGAAAUUAUUGUGGUGUAGUUGAGCUUACUCCAAAUCAAAGGAUGUGGUUUGAGCUAACCUAAUGUGCAUGCCCCAAUGUUUCGGUGAAACAGUUCUUUUUCUUAUUGAAUUUCACGAACACCAUAUUUUCGUUCUCAAAGACACCGUAAAUUUCCCAGGUUACUUUGCAGCCACAAUACUUUGACGAUGAAGAAGUUUGACGAAUUUGCAGACGGCAAAUUUACCUUUAUUUCCUGAUUUGUCGAGGCUAAUAUCGCCCAAAGAAUUGAAUGAUUUGGAAGGGAGUUCCAAAAUAAACUUCCAUCCUCCAUAGACCAUA